GGGGAUUUAGCUCAGUGGUAGAGCGCUUGCCUCAAAUGCAAGGCCCUGGGUUCGGUCCCCAGCUCCG
rnacentral:tRNA from 1 species